rnacentral:tRNA from 1 species
GGAUAAGCGGUUUUUGAAACAUCUGGAAACACCGGCGACACCUCGAAGUCGCCCUGGCAGCGCGGAGGUCAGGGGUUCGAGCCCCCUCGGCUCCA